GAUGAACGCUGGCGGCGUGCCUAAUACAUGCAAGUCGAGCGAACGGACGAGAAGCUUGCUUCUCUGAUGUUAGCGGCGGACGGGUGAGUAACACGUGGAUAACCUACCUAUAAGACUGGGAUAACUUCGGGAAACCGUAGCUAAUACCGGAUAAUAUUUUGAACCGCAUGGUUCAAAAGUGAAAGACGGUCUUGCUGUCACUUAUAGAUGGAUCCGCGCUGCAUUAGCUAGUUGGUAAGGUAACGGCUUACCAAGGCAACGAUGCAUAGCCGACCUGAGAGGGUGAUCGGCCACACUGGAACUGAGACACGGUCCAGACUCCUACGGGAGGCAGCAGUAGGGAAUCUUCCACAAUGGGCGAAAGCCUGACGGAGCAACGCCGCGUGAGUGAUGAAGGUCUUCGGAUCGUAAAACUCUGUUAGUAGGGAAGAACAUAUGUGUAAGUAACUGUGCACAUCUUGACGGUACCUAAUCAGAAAGCCACGGCUAACUACGUG
rnacentral:rRNA from 1 species